rnacentral:tRNA from 2 species
GCGGGCGUGGUGAAAUUGGUAGACACAAGGGACUUAAAAUCCCUCGCUUCGGCGUACGGGUUCGAUUCCCGUCGCCCGCACCA